UACGGAGGGUGCGAGCGUUGUCCGGAAUCACUGGGCGUAAAGGGCGCGUAGGCGGCCUGGUAAGUAGGGGGUGAAAUCCUGCGGCUUAACCGCAGGGCUGCCUUCUAAACUGUCAGGCUCGAGCACAGUAGAGGCAGAUGGAAUUCCCGGUGUAGCGGUGGAAUGCGUAGAGAUCGGGAAGAACAUCAGUGGCGAAGGCGGUCUGCUGGGCCGUUGCUGACGCUGAGGCGCGACAGCGUGGGGAGCAAACAGG
rnacentral:rRNA from 1 species